UACGUAGGCAGCGAGCGUUGUUCGGAGUUACUGGGCGUAAAGGGUGUGUAGGCGGUUGUUUAAGUUUGGUGUGAAAUCUCCCGGCUCAACUGGGAGGGUGCGCCGAAUACUGAAUGACUUGGAGUGCGGGAGAGGAGAGUGGAAUUCCUGGUGUAGCGGUGAAAUGCGUAGAUAUCAGGAGGAACACCCGUGGCGAAAGCGGCGCGCUGGACCACUACUGACGCUGAGGAACGAAAGCUAGGGGAGCAAACAGG
rnacentral:rRNA from 1 species